rnacentral:rRNA from 1 species
UACGGAGGGUGCAAGCGUUAUCCGGAUUUACUGGGCUUAAAGGGUGCGCAGGCGGAUAUGUAAGUCAGUGGUGAAAUCUCCGGGCUUAACCCGGAAACUGCCGUUGAUACUAUAUAUCUUGAAUGCUGUGGAGGUAAGCAGAAUAUGUCAUGUAGCGGUGAAAUGCUUAGAUAUGACAUAGAAUACCUAUUGCGAAGGCAGCUUACUGCACAGAUAUUGACGCUCAUGCACGAAAGCGUGGGGAGCAAACAGG